GCCAAAUAGCUAGCUCAACAAUCAAAACCAAAACCACAUAAUUAAUAAGUUUUACUUUACCCAACUUAACAUAAAUAAAACAUUUUCCCGCCUUAGUAUCGGUGACAGAAAAAGCACUUGAAGCAAUAGAAACUAGUACCGCAAGGAAAAGCUGAAAGAGAAAUGAAACAACCCAUUUAAGCCUAAAAAAGCAGAGAUUUUACCUCGUACCUUUUGCAUCAUGAUUUAGCCAGAACCCCUGAGCAAAGAGAAACUAUAGUUCUUUACCCCGAAACCAAGUGAGCUACCCCGAGACAGCCUACAUAGGGCCAACCCGUCUCUGUGGCAAAAGAGUGGGAAGAUCUCCGGGUAGCGGUGACAGACCUAUCGAACUUGGUGAUAGCUGGUUGCCUAAGAAAUGGAUAUAAGUUCAGCCUCGUUUUCCUCCCCCCACGAGAAAAACUUCCCCACGGAAUAGAGAAAAACACGAGAGUUAGUCAGAGGGGGUACAGCCCCUCUGAACCAGAACACAAUCUGACUCAGGAGGUUAAAAAUUAGUAAACAAGAUGUACCACUUAAGUGGGCCUAAAAGCAGCCAUCAACUUAGAAAGCGUUAAGCUCAGGUAAAUCCAAAAUCUAUUAUCCUAUUAUUUUAUUCUAAACCCCUAUUACUAUUAGCCGUCCAUGCCACAUGGGAGAGAUACUGCUAAAUGAGUACAGAGGAAACCCCUUCUCAGCCACGGUGUAAUAGAUCGGACUACCGCUAUUAUACGACCACCCAAGAGAAGAAAAAGUGACUUUAAUGAUAAAAUCAAGAAAACCCCACACAAUAAAUCGUUAACCCCACACUGGAGAACCUAAAGGAAAAGAAUAAAAGAAAAAGAAGGAACUCGGCAAACACAAGCCUCGCCUGUUUACCAAAAACAUCGCCUCCUGCAAAGAUCAAUGUAUAUGAGGUCCUACCUGCCCAGUGACCAUAUUUAAACGGCCGCGGUAUCUUGACCGUGCAAAGGUAGCGCAAUCACUUGUUUUUUAAAUAAAGACCUGUAUGAAUGGUGAAACGAGGGCUUAACUGUCUCCUUUUUCUGAUCAGUGAAAUUGAUCUACCCGUGCAGAAGCGGGUAUAAAUAUACAAGACGAGAAGACCCUAUGGAGCUUAAGACUUAAGUCAAUUACGUUAAUAAAUCCCUCUAAAAGAAAUAAACAAAAUAAUUACAUGACCACUGUCUUCGGUUGGGGCGACCACGGGGGAAAACAAAUCCCCCACGUGGAACGGGAAAUUCUCCUAAAACCACGAGGAACACCUCUAAGUCACAGAACCUCUGACCAAAAGAUCCGGUAUCUAGCCGAUCAACGAACCAAGUUACCCUAGGGAUAACAGCGCAAUCCUCUCCAAGAGUCCAUAUCGACAAGAGGGUUUACGACCUCGAUGUUGGAUCAGGACAUCCUAAUGGUGCAGCCGCUAUUAAGGGUUCGUUGUCAACGAUAAAGUCCUACGGGUUCGUUUUGUUCACGAUUAAGUCCUACGUGAUCUGAGUUCAGACCGGAGCAAUCCAGGUCAGUUUCUAUCUGUAACGUUGUCUCUUCUAGUACGAAAGGAUCGAAGACAUAAGGCCCCUAUUACAAAUACACCUUACUCCCAAUUAAUGAAACCAACUCAACUAAAUAAGGAAGAACAUAAAAACCACUAAAGAUAUUUAGA
rnacentral:rRNA from 1 species